GGCAGUUCUUGAGUGACGCACUCCAGCAUCAGGCUCCCUCCUCUCUGGUUCUGGAUGCAUCACUCGAGAACCCCA
rfam:Myotis davidii contig60375, whole genome shotgun sequence.